UACGUAGGGUGCAAGCGUUAUCCGGAAUUAUUGGGCGUAAAGAGCUCGUAGGCGGUUUGUCGCGUCUGCUGUGAGAACCCGAGGCUCAACCUCGGGCCUGCAGUGGGCACGGGCAGACUAGAGUGCGGUAGGGGAGAUUGGAAUUCCUGGUGUAGCGGUGGAAUGCGCAGAUAUCAGGAGGAACACCGAUGGCGAAGGCAGAUCUCUGGGCCGUAACUGACGCUGAGGAGCGAAAGCGUGGGGAGCGAACAGG
rnacentral:rRNA from 1 species